CCUGCCUGCAGCGGCCCCACCCACGAGAUACCUACUUCAGAGCUUCCUUGCAGCUGCUCCUUGGCUGUCUAGAGACCCAGUGAGGUCCACUGAAUGAGCAAGUGGACUUCCUCGUCCUUCGGCACAUUGCCCACCAGUCUGCUCCACCAGCAGGAGGGUGCAGCUCCUCUCCUCCUCGGGGUUCUUGACUCUUCCUGGCCCCAUUGGCUCAGUGACUGUGAACUUGUUGGCUGUUGCAGCUUGAGAGGGUGGAAGGGUGACUAUAGGGAGUGAAGUGUUAGAGGAAUAAAGAACAGAAGAAACUAUUUGUUUUAAAUUUUCAGUAAUUAAUUUUGUUUUAAUUAUUAUUAUAAAAGCAAUACCCAUUUUGGCAGAGAUUGCAAAGUGGCUCCUCAACCCCAUUUCCCAGACCCCUUCUCCCUUCUGUCUUCCAGGUAGAGUGAUCAUGGGACACAAAUCUCCCCCAUCAGGCUUACUUCUGCCCUGGAGCUCCUGCCUUUGCUUGGAGUAGUCCUUUCUGUCCCCAUUCUUCUCUCUUUGAAUGCAUAUGUGACAACUGGGACACAGGGGCCACCUCAAGUCCACGAAGGAAAAGUCAAGAAAAUUUCAGACCUGGGUCCUGGCAUUGUGGGGCUGCUGAAUUGCUAGGGUUUUCUUUUUUGUUGUUUGCAGCCAAUAAAAUGUUCAUUGUAGAAAACUAGAAAAUACAAAGUGUGUGAGUAGAGGACAUUAACUGUGAUCCUGUCUUCCAGAAAUAACCAAAAUGGCUAUAUCAACAUAUAUUCCUUCAAUUUUUCUUCUUUAUUGUUUUUAAAAAAAUAUGGAGUAGAAACACUGUUUUGUAACUGUUUAUUUUACUUCCCAAUGUGUUAUGGACAUUUUUUUUAAAAAAUCACCUGUAUUCAUCCACUUGUUAUUGUAUGGAUUUUCCAAGCUUUCCUUAAUUCUAUAUUGUCAAAUAUUUGUUAUUUCCAAUUUUAAAUACUCUAAACAAUGAUAGUAUGAACGUGUUUGAAGGCGCAUCUUUGUCUGAUUAUUUCCUUAAGAUGAAUUCCUAAAAUUGCUGUGAACUGAUGAGCCAAAGAGAAUGCAGAUCUAUAGAUAAAAGACCCUUUGGAAAGGUUUUAUAGUUCACUUGUAGUGUGUGCCUUGCUUCACAUCAUCAUUGUCCAACUGGGACUUAUCACCUUUUUAAAAAUAUCAGCCUCAAAAGGGGCUGGAGUUGUGGCUCAGUGGUAGAGCAUUUGCCUCACAUGUGUGAGGCACUGGCUUCGAUCCUCAACACCACAUAAAAAUAAAUAAACAAAAUAAAAGUAUUGUGUCCACCUAUGACAAAAAAUUUUUUUUAAGAAGGCAAUGUGUAGAUUAAAUCAAUUUAAUAAUUUCAUUAUGGAAUUUGUAUUGCAUUAUUGAAUUUGACAUCUUCCCAUUUGCCAUUUCCAGUUCUAUUAAUUACUAAUAUGUACCCGAACGCUGGGCUAGGUAGCUUACCUAUGCUAUUUAUUUAUUUAUUUUUUGGAUCAGCAACGCCUUUAUUAAGCGGCAGAGGGGGAAAUCCUAUUUCUUUUAAUCCUAACAGCCACUGUCUUUCAUUUAAUGAGUGAAGAAAGUAUAGCUCAGAGGCUAAGUAAUUUGCUUAAGAGCACACAACUAGAAAGGGAUCGAACUGGACUUCAUGACUAGGUCUGCCUAACUCCAAAGCAGAUACAAUAAUAAAGAAAUACUUUCCUUUUGGGGUGUUAUAUAGGUUCUCCAAGUCCUAACUGAAUCAGUCAGGAACCACGAGCUAAGAGAUAGCACUCUAGAGGGGUUAUUUAAGGGAAUUCAUGGAAGGCACUAUUUACAGAGGUAUGGGCAGGGUGAAGGGGCAAUCAUAGGUGGUGAAGCACCAAGGGAUUAUCAUUGGCGGGAAGCCGUUGUCUUCUUAUCCCCUCUUGGUCAGCUCAAUGUCUAAGAAUCGGGUAUCUUCAAAAACCCUGUUUUAAGGACAGAGCCCCUGCAUCUCUGUUUAAGCAGAGCCCCCAUCCCCUCCCAUCACUCCUAGAAUUGCCUCUGUUGUUUAUGGAGAUAUGAAUUAGUAGUUGAUGGUUUUAAACUGUCCUUAUAUUACAGCUUUGAAAUAGUAGCUAGUGGUACCCUCCUUAGCAUGAAGGAAAAAGAUACGAGGGCGACAUUCAGACAAGGAUCCCGACCAAGACAGAUGGAAACAAAUGAAAGCCUAAUGAGGUUUCUCCAGAAGAGCCUUCUAGUUCUAAUGUUGUGGACUAUGGAGCCAGACUCUCUGAUCUUGUCCCCAUUGAGUUCCACCGUUUCAAGCAAUGGAUCUUGGACAAGGGAUUGAACUUCUCUGAGUUAAUAUGUAGGAAGAACUGAAAACCAUGCUGGACACACAGCCAGCACUCGAUGCCGGGCUCAUGAAUGGAGGAAUGAAGGGAGAAGAGAUAGAUGUUUAGUUGCUCUCCUUCCCUCAGAUACUACUGUCUCUGUCCUCUUGUGGUGCCCUCCAUCUCAGAGGAUUUGGAGGGAAACUGUGACUUGGAGGAAUAAGGGAGAAAGGAAGGGCACAGAGAGGCCCAGCCAUAUAUGUCUCGGUCCUUCCUUUUUCUGAGGUUGACAAAGACCCUUUAAUUCCUCAGUGGCAAUCCCCCAACCCACUAGAGGGAUGGUCCAAAGUACAGUUGUCCCUUAGUGUCAUCGGAGGCUUAGUUUCAAGACCCAAUGGAUUCCAAAAUCCAAGGAUGCUCAAGUCCUUUAUGUAAAAUGGUGCAGUAUUUGCAUAUAACCUGCACAUAUCCAUAUACUUCAAAUCAUCUCUAAAUUACUUAUGAUAUCUAAUGCUAUGUAAAUAGUUGUUCUACUAUGUUGUUUAGGGAAUAAUAACAAGGAAAAAAGUCUGUAUGUAUUCAGUGCAGAUGCAUAAUUUUAAAAAAUAUGUAUUUUUGGUCUUUGGUUGUUUUUAUCUAUAGGUGUGGAGACAGCAGAUUUUGAGGACCAAUGGGAUGGUUCUGUGAAUCGAGACCAGACUCUGAAUCCAGACAGCCCUGCAUGAAACAGCCCAUCUCGCUCUCUGUGGAACAUCUAGGAUGAUAUUGGCUCAGAAGGCUGCUAUGGACGUUGGCUGUCAUUACUUCCAUGCCAGUCGGCCCAGAGAGCCACUCUGGACAAAGUCAUCAUCCCUUUGUCUUUGGCAGAUGCCAAAAUCAGUCCCACUCUGAGGAAGAAGCUUGUCUACUUCCCUGCUCUAUCCAUGCCAGUUUGGCGGAUGCCACUAAUUCAGAAAAAAACAAAACAAAACAAAACAGAAAACAUGAUUUGUGACCCUCACAAAUAGACUGGAAUUGGGAGUAAAUGUCAGAACUGCUAGGCACAGCUUCCUGCUGUAGUCCUGCGAAGACAGUGGGUGGAUGAUGGGCUGCUUACAUCAUCUGCAUAGCAGCUGACAACUUUCCCCUCAAUUUAAGUGGGGAGCCUCUAUUUAUCCCAUAAUGACAAGAGGGAAAAUUAGUAGCCAUAGGAAAUUAAAAUAUAUUGAGCUAAAAGCUUCAAUAAAAUGUAUAUAAUAGGCAGGUCACAUUUUCAGUUAUAUGGUUCAUUAAUAUAUAUUCCCUAAAACUGAACAUCCCCAUAUAAUGAAAUUCUGAUACAACAUGGUUAGUAUAUACAAAAGGUGGUAUAAACUGCAGAGCUGCUGGGAUUAAUUCAAAGUUCUCUGAUCUUAAAGUCUUGUGUGUCGUGUCAUUGCAUGGGCCAGAAGGAACAUUCUAGAAAAGUGGAUGGGUUGAAAGAUGGUGACAGAGAUUUUUCAGGCCCACCUACUACGUACCAGGUGUUUAACAGGAGGUGCCAUAUUCAAUGUUCACUAAAUUUAUGUUAUACAGACAGUUUUCAGUAAACCAUCUGUUCCUGUGAUAAAAGCAUGCCUCAGGAAUUAUAAUGACUGGGAUUUCGAACUGGACUUUGCCACUUUCCAGCUGUGAGAUUUUAGAGGAGUUAAGUAGCCUAUCUGAGUCAGUGAGAAAUAAAUAAGCUAACGCAUGUAAAACACCUGGUACAUAAUAAGUGCCUAAGAAAUUUGAAUUUUUUUGUUGUUGUUGUUGUUCUCAUUUCUGUCAGUGGUUCUCAGUUUGGGCUGCAUGCUGGAAUCACUUGAAGAGGUUUAAAAACUGGCUCUCCGCUGAGUCCUUCCUCCAGAGAUUUGGAUUUAAUUGGUCCAGGGUGUGGCCGGGCCACUGGGAGGGGCUUUUUAAAAGCUCCCUUGGUGAAUCUAAAGUGCAGCCAAGGUUGAAAACCACUUGUCUUAAUCAAAUCACCCAGUGUCACAGAGGGAGUUAGUGAGUGAUGCAAUAAUAAUAUUGCUAACCAUAUUGGGCAGAGUUAUCAGAACUGGGAAUGCUGGGAAUACUGCUAGGAAGGGAAAGGACAUCAAGGAGUGUGAGCUCCAUUGUGAGUCGAACGUCCGCCAGCCUCCAGAGUGCAAUUGUAUCAGACAAGGGAAAAGCCAGGCUGGUGGUUUUAUUUUGAUCAAAGAUACCAUUUUGGGGGAAACCAAUUCCUUAGAUGAAGUCAAUGAGUUAAAGAACCCGGGGAUGUCAUUUUUCCAAUGCUUGUUCCAGGAACAAAGAUCAUUGUCAAGGUCCUGCUAUUAUAAGGGAGAGCUGGGAUUCUACUGUGUGACAUAUAAGGAAGCUCCUUAAGUUCACUGAGCUUCGAUUUCCCAAUUCACCUCUCACUUCUAAGGAGAACUGCCUGCAAUCUUGAUCCUCUCAGGAGAAGAAAAUGCCAUGUGUAUCUGCACCCACUGUUUGUAGAGCAGUCCCCUUUAUCUGAAGUUUAGCGUCCUUUGGUUUCCAUUACCCCUGCCUAACUGUGGUUCAAAACAUUAAAUGAAAAAUUCCAGAAAUAAACCAUUUGUCAAUUUUAAA